rnacentral:rRNA from 1 species
ACUCAAAGGAAUAGACGGGGACCCGCACAAGCAGUGGAGUAUGUGGUUUAAUUCGAAGCAACGCGAAGAACCUUACCAGGGCUUGACAUCCACAGAAUCCCUCAGAGAUGAGGGAGUGCCUUCGGGAACUGUGAGACAGGUGGUGCAUGGUUGUCGUCAGCUCGUGUCGUGAGAUGUUGGGUUAAGUCCCGCAACGAGCGCAACCCCUAUUGUUAGUUGCUACCAUUAAGUUGAGCACUCUAGCGAGACUGCCGGUGACAAAUCGGAGGAAGGUGGGGACGACGUCAAAUCAUCAUGCCCCUUAUGUCCUGGGCUACACACGUACUACAAUGGCCAUUAACAACGGGCAGCGAAGCCGCGAGGUGGAGCAAAUCCCCAAAAAUGGCCUCAGUUCAGAUUGUAGGCUGCAACCCGCCUGCAUGAAGUAGGAAUUGCUAGUAAUCGCGAAUCAGCAUGUCGCGGUGAAUACGUUCCCGGGUCUUGUACACACCGCCCGU